UACGUAGGGACCAAGCGUUGUUCGGAUUUACUGGGCGUAAAGGGGCGCGUAGGCGGCAAUUCAAGUCAUCUGUGAAAUCUCCGGGACUUAACCCGGAACGGUCAGAUGAUACUGCUUUGCUAGAGUGCGGAAGGGGGCAAUCGGAAUUCUUGGUGUAGCGGUGAAAUGCGUAGAUAUCGAGAGGAACACCUGCGGCGAAGGCGGGUUGCUGGGCCGACACUGACGCUGAUGCGCGAAAGCCAGGGGAGCGA
rnacentral:rRNA from 1 species